rnacentral:lncRNA from 1 species
AGAGAGCUCAAGAGAGAAAGAAACCAAGGGAGGGGGUCAGGGUGAAGGGGUCUCAGGAGGUGACAUGGAAGACAACAGGGAGGACAGGUGGAGACCUCAGGGUGCCGGCUGAGUCCCAGGCCCUUCCUGAUGGGUUUGGGUGGAGCAGCUCUGCUGCUCCGGUCCCUCUAAGGAGGGCCUCAGCCUAGGGCGCAGCAGAGAAGGUGGGAUGGAGACUGCCAUCACCCGGAUGCCACCCUGACUCACUGUUGGUCCCCCUACAGGUCAGCAGCGGACUAAAGCCACAACCCCAGCCAGGGAACCCUUCCAAAACACAGAGGAGCCAUAUGAGAAUAUCAGGAAUGAAGGACAAAAUACAGAUCCCAAGCUAAAUCCCAAGGAAAAACUACAAAUAUGUAUCUUUCUGCAAGCCUUUCCAGAUCGAUCUGCCUCAUUCCAGGAUGGCCAGGGCCAGGCACUGUAGCUCACGUCUACAAUCCCAACACUUUGGGAGGCUGAAAUGGGAGAAUCGUUUGCAGCCAUGAGUU